AAGUCGUAACAAGGUUUCCGUAGGUGAACCUGCGGAAGGAUCAUUAACGAGUUUUGAAAGGGGUUGUCGCUGGCCUUUCACGAGGCAUGUGCACACCCUGCUCAUCCACUCUCAACCUCUGUGCACUUAUUGUAGGUCGGUGGAAGGCUCGCAAGAGCUGGAAGCCUGCUUAUGUUUUACUACAAACGCUUCAGUUAUAGAAUGUUUACUUGCGUAUAACGCAUUUAUAUACAACUUUCAGCAACGGAUCUCUUGGCUCUCGCAUCGAUGAAGAAC
rnacentral:misc_RNA from 1 species